AUCAACUUUCGAUGGUAGGAUAGAGGCCUACCAUGGUGGUAACGGGUAACGGGGUGUUAGGGCACGACACCGGAGAGGGAGCCUGAGAAACGGCUACCACAUCCAAGGAUGGCAGCAGGCGCGCAAAUUACCCAAUCCCGACACGGGGAGGUAGUGACAAUAAAUAACAAUACGGGGCUCUUUAGGGUCUCGUAAUUGGAAUGAGUACAAUUUAAAUCUCUUAACGAGGAACAAUUGGAGGGCAAGUCUGGUGCCAGCAGCCGCGGUAAUUCCAGCUCCAAUAGCGUAUAUUAAAGUUGUUGCAGUUAAAAAGCUCGUAGUUGAAUUUCGGGAUCAGCAGGUUGGUCGUGCCUCUGGUAUGCACUGGUUUCGCUGAUUCCUCCUUUCUGAAGAACUGUAAUGUCAUUAAUUUGGUGUUGCAGGGAAACAGGACUGUUACUUUGAAAAAAUUAGAGUGUUUAAAGCAAGCUAACGCUUGAAUACAUUAGCAUGGAAUAAUGAAAUAGGACGUUUGAUCCUAUUUUGUUGGUUUCUAGGAUUGACGUAAUGAUUAAUAGGGAUAGUUGGGGGCAUUAGUAUUCAAUUGUCAGAGGUGAAAUUCUUGGAUUUAUUGAAGACUAACUACUGCGAAAGCAUUUGCCAAGGAUGUUUUCAUUAAUCAAGAACGAAAGUUAGGGGAUCGAAGACGAUCAGAUACCGUCGUAGUCUUAACCAUAAACUAUGCCGACUAGGGAUCGGAUGAUGUUAAUUUUUUAAUGACUCAUUCGGCGCCUUACGGGAAACCAAAGUGUUUGGGUUC
rnacentral:rRNA from 1 species